rnacentral:rRNA from 1 species
AGCAGCCGCGGUAAUUCCAGCUCCAAUAGCGUAUAUUAAAGUUGUUGCAGUUAAAAAGCUCGUAGUUGAAUUUCGGGGUCAGUAGAUUGGUCGUGCCACUGGUAUGUACUGGUCUCACUGAUUCCUCCUUCCUGAUGAGCCGUAAUGCCAUUAAUUUGGUGUUGCGAGGAAUCUGGACUGUUACUUUGAAAAAAUUAGAGUGUUUAAAGCAAGCUAACGCUUGAAUACAUUAGCAUGGAAUACUGAAAUAGGACGUUCGGUCUUAUUUUGUUGGUUUCUAAGAUUGACGUAAUGAUUAAUAGGGAUAGUUGGGGGCAUUAGUAUUCAAUUGUCAGAGGUGAAAUUCUUGGAUUUAUUGAAGACUAACUACUGCGAAAGCAUUUGCCAAGGAUGUUUUCAUUAAUCAAGAACGAAAGUUAGGGGAUCGAAGACGAUCAGAUACCGUCGUAGUCUUAACCAUAAACUAUGCCGACUAGGGAUCGGAUGAUGUUAAUUUUUUAAUGACUCA